UACGGGGGAGCAAGCGUUGUUCGGAUUUACUGGCGUAAAGGGCGCGUAGGCGGUCAGCACAAGUCAGUUGUGAAAUCUCCGGGCUUAACUCGGAAAGGUCAACUGAUACUGUGCGACUAGAGUGCAGAAGGGCAACUGGAAUUCUCGGUGUAAGCGGUGAAAUGCGUAGAUAGUCAGGAAGAACCACCCGUGGCGAAAGCGGCUCUCUGGAACGGUACUGACGCUGAGACGCGAAAGCGUGGGAGCGAACAGG
rnacentral:rRNA from 1 species